ACAUGGAUUGAAUAUAGGAAACUCUAGAAUUGAAAAUGAAGAGAUAGUAUGUCAUUGGCUACCUCAUCUGUGCAAAGCAGGAGGAGAUGCUACUGACGAUGAUGGAUGUGGAAAAGAUGGAGUAUCGUCUAAUGUGCCGCAGCCUUCAUCAUAGACAUCUGUGAAGAUAUGACAAUGCUUAUCAAUGGUACGGAGGACUGAAGUGCAUAUGUCUUGGAUGACAUAUCUGAAUGUGGACACAG
rnacentral:lncRNA from 1 species